rnacentral:lncRNA from 1 species
CGAAGAGGCAUCCCGCCAGAUUCAUCCAUCACGGCCGGUUCCUGCCGUUGCAAAUGGAGAAGCUCACCAGAUCCAACGCUGGAGUCUUCCACUGCUCUGUUACAAGGAAAUCUCAGCCGGUUCUCACUUGCCAUGGGAUCUUAAACGCUGCCAAGAAGAAGCCAUCCCGGUCCAUUUCAACGCCUCGUUCUCCAUCACGAAUUCCCCAGCUUCUAUGAUUCCUUGGAACGUUUAUUUUCCCAUCGAUGCAUCAAUGUAUCAGCCGGUUUAUGAGUCCAUUUAUUCCUUCUUUAUCAUGUAAUUGGUUGCCCUGCCUAUAAAAGGGGUUUAUCUCGUUAUGUAAAGGGAGGAAAAAACAAUGAAUAGAGGAGAAGCUGUUUGAUGAAUUGCUUGAAAGAGUUUGGUGUCCAAUCCCAAGAUCCUACCUUCCUUCCUUCUCUAAAAUCCUUCUCUACUAAGUGAACGCGGCGUCCCCUGACUUCCGCAACUUCCUCUAGCGCAGGCGGCGCUCAACAUCCGGCUCCCCAUUCCCUCUUCC